AGAGUUUGAUCCUGGCUCAGACUCCUACGGGAGGCAGCAGUGGGGAAUUUUGGACAAUGGGCGAAAGCCUGAUCCAGCAAUGCCGCGUGCAGGAUGAAGGCCCUCGGGUUGUAAACUGCUUUUGUACGGAACGAAAAGCCUGGGGCUAAUAUCCCCGGGUCAUGACGGUACCGUAAGAAUAAGCACCGGCUAACUACGUGCCAGCAGCCGCGGUAAUACGUAGGGUGCAAGCGUUAAUCGGAAUUACUGGGCGUAAAGCGUGCGCAGGCGGUUUUGUAAGACAGUGGUGAAAUCCCCGGGCUCAACCUGGGAACUGCCAUUGUGACUGCAAGGCUAGAGUGCGGCAGAGGGGGAUGGAAUUCCGCGUGUAGCAGUGAAAUGCGUAGAUAUGCGGAGGAACACCGAUGGCGAAGGCAAUCCCCUGGGCCUACACUGACGCUCAUGCACGAAAGCGUGGGGAGCAAACAGGAUUAGAUACCCUGGUAGUCCACGCCCUAAACGAUGUCAACUGGUUGUUGGGUCUUAACUGACUCAGUAACGAAGCUAACGCGUGAAGUUGACCGCCUGGGGAGUACGGCCGCA
rnacentral:rRNA from 1 species